AAUUUUAAUUUAGUGUUUAUAUUUUUAUGUGUAUUAAUUGUGAUUUAUUUUAGGAAAAGUAAUUUAAUUUUUGAUUGUUUUAGUAUAUUUUUUGAAUAAAUUUAUUUAUUUAUAGUUGUUGUAUUGUAAAGGGUUAAUUUUUUAUUUUAGGAAGUAAGUUAGUAUUUUACCUUUUGUAUCAGGGUUUAUUAAUUAAUUAAUAUGAAUUGUUAUUGAUCUCGAAAUUAAAAGAGCUAAUUAUAAAUUAUUUUUUAUGUGUAAUAAUAAUUAUAAAUUUAUGAUUGGGGGUGAAACGUUAUUCGAUUUUAUUGAUAUCUAGUUUUUUUUGAAAUGAAUUUAAUUCAUAUAUUUAAUUUAUUAAUAAUAUUAAUUUUUAUUUAUGUUGAAUAUAAAAAAUCUGUGGGAUAAUCUAUAGAUUUAUUUUACUAUAAAAUUGAUUAUUAUUAAAUUUGUAAUUUUAAAAUUUAAUUUUCAUUUGAGAUAAUUUAAUAAUUUAUUUUGUUUAUUAAAAAUUUAUAUAUUAUGUAAUGUUUUAAAAUAAAUUUUGUAUUAAUAGUUAGUGCUUAGGUAUAAUGAUAAAAUUAGUAAUUGAUUAAGUAUACUUAAUUUAUUUGUUUAAAUAAAUUAAAGGAACUCGGCAAAUUUAAAAUAUUCACCUGUUUAUCAAAAACAUGUCUUUUUGUUUUAAUAAUUUAAAGUCUGCUCUGCCCAAUGAAUUAUUUUGAAUGGCUGCAGUAUAUUGACUGUACAAAGGUAGCAUAAUAAUUAGUCUUUUUAUUGAAGGCUUGAAUGAACGAGUUGAUGAAAUAUUUACUGUCUCUAGUUUAAUCUAUAAAUUUAAAUUUUAAGUAAAAAUGCUUAAAUUUUUAUAUGGGACGAGAAGACCCUAUAGAAUUUUAUAAAUUAUUUUAAAAUUAAUUCCUAAUUAUUAAUUAUAAUUUAUUUUGUUGGGAGGAUAUUUAAAUUUAAUUAACUUUAAAAAAUUUAUUCAAUUAUUUUUGUUUAAAUAGAUAGUUUAUUAGAAAUUGUUAGAUUAAAUUACCUUAGGGAUAACAGCGUAAUAUCUUUGGAGAGACCUUAUUUAUAAAGAUGAUUGCGACCUCGAUGUUGAAUUAAGGUAUAAUUUAAAUGCAGGAGUUUAAAUUUUAAGUCUGUUCGACUUUUAAUAUCUUACAUGAUUUGAGUUCAGAUCGGUGUGAGCCAGAUCGGUUUCUAUCUAUAUUUAUUUUAUAAAUUUUUGUACGAAAGGACUUAAUUUAUAAAUUAUUUUUUUAUGUUAUAUUAAGAUUAUAAAUAACUGGGAUAAAUUAUUACCUUGGCAGAAUAGUGCGUUAAAUUUAGAAUUUAGAAUAUGUAAAAUAAAUU
rnacentral:rRNA from 1 species